UUUAAAAUUAAGAUGAGGAAAAGUUUUUGUGGGUAUUUUGUUGGUUUAAUGGAGUAAAAGAAAAGCAGUUUCAAUUUUCAUGAUGAUAUUUUUGGUUUUGGCUGCUCCAACAAGUCUCUUCAUCACUAUCUCUCUUCUCAUUGCAAGGUGGUUUACUUGGUGAGUGAAGCAGAGAAGGCAAAAUGGCAAAUUCUUCCUAGAGACUAGUACCCAAAAGGUUUGAUCUUUCAUGAUGGAAGAUUGGCUUUUACACCAACUUCAAAAUCCACCUUAUCUAUGUUCAUAUGGAUUCCAUUUGGGUUCUCUUUUUGCAUCAUUAAGGUUCUAAUUGUCUUGCUAUUGCCUUACAAAUUGUCCAUCCCAAUUUCAGAGUUCACUGAGAUGAGAGGUACCUUAUCAAGACCAGAAUUUAUAUAAUUAGAUCUAUUUUCAA